GUCCUAGUAGCUCAGCUGGAUAGAGCAACGCCCUCCUAAGGCGUAGGUCGGGGGUUCAAAUCCCUUCUGGGACG
rnacentral:tRNA from 1 species